rnacentral:rRNA from 1 species
GGAAAGGCGCGCGAUACAGGGUGACAGCCCCGUACACAAAAAUGCACAUGCUGUGAGCUCGAUGAGUAGGGCGGGACACGUGGUAUCCUGUCUGAAUAUGGGGGGACCAUCCUCCAAGGCUAAAUACUCCUGACUGACCGAUAGUGAACCAGUACCGUGAGGGAAAGGCGAAAAGAACCCCGGCGAGGGGAGUGAAAAAGAACCUGAAACCGUGUACGUACAAGCAGUGGGAGCACGCUUAGGCGUGUGACUGCGUACCUUUUGUAUAAUGGGUCAGCGACUUAUAUUCUGUAGCAAGGUUAACCGAAUAGGGGAGCCGAAGGGAAACCGAGUCUUAACUGGGCGUUAAGUUGCAGGGUAUAGACCCGAAACCCGGUGAUCUAGCCAUGGGCAGGUUGAAGGUUGGGUAACACUAACUGGAGGACCGAACCGACUAAUGUUGAAAAAUUAGCGGAUGACUUGUGGCUGGGGGUGAAAGGCCAAUCAAACCGGGAGAUAGCUGGUUCUCCCCGAAAGCUAUUUAGGUAGCGCCUCGUGAAUUCAUCUCCGGGGGUAGAGCACUGUUUCGGCAAGGGGGUCAUCCCGACUUACCAACCCGAUGCAAACUGCGAAUACCGGAGAAUGUUAUCACGGGAGACACACGGCGGGUGCUAACGUCCGUCGUGAAGAGGGAAACAACCCAGACCGCCAGCUAAGGUCCCAAAGUCAUGGUUAAGUGGGAAACGAUGUGGGAAGGCCCAGACAGCCAGGAUGUUGGCUUAGAAGCAGCCAUCAUUUAAAGAAAGCGUAAUAGCUCACUGGUCGAGUCGGCCUGCGCGGAAGAUGUAACGGGGCUAAACCAUGCACCGAAGCUGCGGCAGCGACGCUGAUGCGUUGUUGGGUAGGGGAGCGUUCUGUAAGCCUGCGAAGGUGUGCUGUGAGGCAUGCUGGAGGU